UACGUAGGGUGCAAGCGUUGUCCGGAAUUAUUGGGCGUAAAGAGCUCGUAGGCGGUCUGUCGCGUCGGCUGUGAAAACCCGGAGCUCAACUCCGGGCCUGCAGUCGAUACGGGCAGACUGGAGUUCGGCAGGGGAGACUGGAAUUCCUGGUGUAGCGGUGAAAUGCGCAGAUAUCGGAAGGAACACCGGUGGCGAAAGCGGCGCGCUGGACCUCUUCUGACGCUGAGGCGCGAAAGCCAGGGGAGCAAACGGG
rnacentral:rRNA from 1 species